rnacentral:rRNA from 1 species
AUUGAACGCUGGCGGCAUGCCUUACACAUGCAAGUCGAACGGUAACAGGUCUUCGGAUGCUGACGAGUGGCGAACGGGUGAGUAAUACAUCGGAACGUGCCUAGUAGUGGGGGAUAACUACUCGAAAGAGUGGCUAAUACCGCAUGAGAUCUACGGAUGAAAGCAGGGGAUCGCAAGACCUUGUGCUACUAGAGCGGCCGAUGGCAGAUUAGGUAGUUGGUGGGAUAAAAGCUUACCAAGCCGACGAUCUGUAGCUGGUCUGAGGGGACGAUCAGCCCCACUGGGGCUGAGACACGGCCCAGACUCCUACGGGAGGCAGCAGUGGGGAAUUUUGGACAAUGGGCGCAAGCCUGAUCCAGCAAUGCCGCGUGCAGGAUGAAGGCCUUCGGGUUGUAAACUGCUUUUGUACGGAACGAAAAGCCCCGGGUUAAUACCCUGGGGUCAUGACGGUACCGUAAGAAUAAGCACCGGCUAACUACGUGCCAGCCGCCGCGGUAA